UACGUAGGGUCCGAGCGUUGUCCGGAAUUACUGGGCGUAAAGAGCUCGUAGGUGGUUUGUCGCGUUGUUCGUGAAAACUCACAGCUCAACUGUGGGCGUGCGGGCGAUACGGGCAGACUUGAGUACUGCAGGGGAGACUGGAAUUCCUGGUGUAGCGGUGAAAUGCGCAGAUAUCAGGAGGAACACCGAUGGCGAAGGCAGGUCUCUGGGCAUUAACUGACGCUGGAGGAGCGGAAAGCAUG
rnacentral:rRNA from 1 species